AUGAGGUUCCCUGCUCAGCUCCUUGAGCUGCUAAUGCUUUGGUUCCCUGGAUCCAGCGGGGAAAUCGUGAUGACACAGACCCCACUCUCACUGCCCAUCACCCCCGGAGAGCCGGGCUCCAUCUCCUGCAGGGCCAGUGGGAGCCUCCUGCACAGUGAUGGAAAUACCUUUUUGUAUUGGUACCUGCAGAAGCCAGGCCAGUCUCCACAGAGCCUCAUCUACUUGGUUUCCAACCAUUACUCCUGGGUCCCAGACAGGUUCAGUGGCAUCAGGUCAGGGACAGAUUUCACCCUGACCAUCAGCAUGGUGGAGGCUGACGAUGUGGGGGUCUAUUACUGCGGGCAAAGUUUAUAG